UGAAAUUUUCACUUUCGUUUCUUACACAACUCCGUUUCUCUGGAUCCAAACGCUUCCAAUUUCUUCCGGUUUCUGCUUUCCGCGGAUGACUUACAAAGCUCGAGGCCCUUUCCUCUAGCUCUCAUUCUAACCUGCAGUGAAGGCCAUGUGAGCUAUUUGGGACAGAUUUUGAUUAUUGCUUCGGCAAUUGGUAUUUGAUGAUUAGUUCUUUUAGUAUGCUCCAGAUGGGUAAAUGCAAAGGUUGUGGGAAAUUAGGAAGAAUGAUGCCAAGGGGUGGAUCUGUGAGUGCAUAUCAAUUUUCCCUUAUGUUGUCGCCUGUUGUUUUUGUUUGGGAUUGCAUCGUUCGCAAAAUGAGGUACUCCUACAGACCUGAGUGGGUGUAGUUGUCAGGAUUACAGUAAUAUAUUAGUUUUCAACAAGAAAAUUAAUUAAAUUUAUUUAGUAAUAUAGAAAAGUAAGGGAACACAGUUAUAGGGAAAUGUAUACACUUUAGAGGAAUUCUGAAAGAAAAGUUAAACAAAGGCGUCUGUUUAGAGGUCGUUAAUCUGAAUGGAUAACAUAUAGUGUAAUAAACUGCAACCUGUUGUGAGAAAAGUUAAGAAGCAGGUGAUGGACGAGUUGGAGAAAGCCCUUGCUUCUUCGGCUGCCAUCAUUUCUAAACUAGAAAAGAAAAAACAAAAGCAGAAAGAAGAGCAACAGAGGCUUGAUGAAGAAGGUUGCGCUGCAUGUUCUACUUGGUGAAGACUCAGAUGAGAUAUGUGAAAUUGUUAUGAACAAAGACGAAAUGCUUACUUUCAAAAGCAAUGAAGCUGUGCUAUAGUGAGGUAGCUGGUUUACGAACAUGGGGUUUUUGCAGUUGUACAGUUUUAUCUUGUGUUUUUUUGUGUCUUUUGUAAUGGGCUUGUUUUAAGUUAAUCAAUGGCAGAGAUGUAAUAAAUAUAGGAAGAUAAACACUUUUUUGUUAUGUAGCAAAUGUUUUUAGGUAUGUUUGUAAAGUGAAUUCCAUAUUUUGGGUUUUUUUAUAAAAUUGGGUUGGGGUUAUUUUGGGUGCUUUUUGAGUUUUUUUGUUUUUGUUUUUCUCUUUCUGUUGGGCUUGAUAGUGGCAGUGUUGUAAUUUAUUGGAACUUCAACACUAAUUUGUUAUUUAAUAAAUGAGUUUUGGGUGUGUUUAUAAAA